GGAUCAGCUGCCACUUCCUCCAGAGGAUCCAGCCCCACCACCAUCUUCAGGCGUAUGGCUGUGUGGGUCUCCCAGACGUCUUUUGUGAUGUGUAUAUGUCCUCUGUUGGUGUAUGAAUGUCCUUUGUGUUGUACCUUAGAGGGGAGAGUCCAAGGGAAGAGUUCACUCUGCCAUGAUGCUGACGUCCUGGACUCCACUUUUUGAUGAGAGUUGCUGCAAAGUGACAUUGCAGAGGCAUGGGGCCUGGAACUGAUAUCUCCUUUCAAGUAUUGUGGGCCCUGGGCCCUGUGCCCACUGUGCCUGGUGGAUCCCCAGCCUGCAUGGUGUGAACAAUAGCAGUUUGGGUGCAGCAGGAGGCCACGCUCUUCAGACACAGGUGCCACUGAUAACCCAGUUAGUCACUUCGUUAUUUCUUCUACUGAAGAGAAAAUAGGCCAUUUCAAGAUGUCCUCCUUCUGCCACAGGAAAUAUCCCACUUUCAUGAAGGCUUGGCCAGAUAUUCCAAAUAAUAAACAUUGAUGAUAAUAAUGAAGAUGAUGAUUAUGAUUUGCUUAUUAUGUAUCAGGCACUGUGUGAACUGCAUUUUCUAAAGUUUUCCUACGUUGUUGGAAUGUGUUAGGGAAAACGUCGGAACUUCAACAUGCUGAAAACUGUGGCCCUGAGUUCUGAGAAGUUUAGGGUUCUCUGUGGUUGCCCACCCAGUGUGUCUUCUCUAGGUCACAGCACCUUUGUAUCUCUGUUGGGAACCUCUUCUCACUCACUGAGGACAAUCUUGGGAGUGUCAAUCUGGUGAGGGCACGUGACCCAAAUGUGGACAAUUGAACUCGCUUCCUUGGGACUUUGAAUCUUGAGUGAAGUAGUCCUAGAAUGCAAACCUCAGUCGGGGCCUGGUGUUGGAAUGAAUGGACUCUGACCAGGCUGUCGCCCAUUGCCUGCCCUGCACCCAGCCCUUCCAGGCCGCCCAGCAGACCGCAGGACUCCCGCUCCCUGGUGCUCCUGCUCAGCUGCUUCUUCCACUAAUUCCAAUGGAAAAAGAACUUUUUGGAAGGAUAGUGGGCUGCUCUAUCUAGAGUCAGUUUUCUUUGUUUGCCGUCAAAGAACCUUAAUGGACACAGCCCCUAAAGAAUCCACAGUUGGGACAAGAGUGUGUUUUAUUCUUUGACAACAAAAACUACAGCUGCAGCGCCCAAGCCCGAGAAGCCAUGUAGCCACAGAGGAGGUCUGCACAGGCCUCCUGGGGUGACACCCCAGAGCAGGAGGGGAACUCCAGAGCUUAGUUUAUUUCCAUACAAAUGGGAUUUUAAAUUCUUCUUGAGGUAACAGAAAGAAAAAAGAAUGUCAUGCAAACACAUUUAGGGUAGCCUGGUUAAUUCCUUCUCCUUUUGGAGCAGCCAGUCACAUUAUCAAGAUUACGCUUCACUGCCUGUUAGACUCGCUUCUGCUGGGAAGCAGAUGAAUCGAUCUUGAACUUCUUCUGGGAGACGCUUAGUGCGUUGUCACUAAGAUUACUGUUAUAUCUUACGCCAUCUGUCACAUUCCCUCUCCCAGCAGGAGCCAUCUCCAGCCGUGAUGUUCUCCAGCUGAAUUUCCGUCUUCAGUCCUGUUAGUAUUGAGGCCACAUUCUGCCUGCUCUGCUGGCCAGCAGAGGCUGGGGAUCUGAGUGGCUGGUGGCCUGGGAGUUGAUUUUCACUCAUAGGAAGCACUGCGACCCUGGAUGGUUUCUGAACUGGAGGCCUUGAUGAGCCUGGGUGGUUUUGCAAACAGCUCCAUCCCUGGAAGGCUGGGACUUGGGUGAAGCCAGCGAGGCCAGGAAGAUUGGUCAUGGAUUAUUUUUGCCUACAACUGGAUAUUCAUCAGAGAAUGGAGCAGCUGCCCUAUACCCUGAUCUUUCAGUCAUCGUCGAUGAUGGCUAUCAGCACAGGCUUUCUGCCUCGGGGUCAUCGCAUUCCCAAGGAACUCAAAAGGACAACAGUUAUCAUCUUAAAGGAGCUGGAAGAAUCUCAGACCAUCAAUCUCCACCUCAUGGCAUCCCCAGAUGUGGUUUGGGUGAGGAAGCAAUAGCCUGUGUGAGCCUCACCUCAUCAGGACCUCCCAGCACCCAUCUUCAUGUGGACUCAGCUUGACUCGGUGCACAUCUCCAGGCAGCCUGAAUGGGACCAGUCACCACAGCCACCGUUCCAACCACAGCCGCCAGUUCUGGGGACAGUGGUGACUGUGACCCAGCCUCCACCUUCACGGAGCUUAUACACUGCUCAGGGAGACAGCCAGGGACCCGCCCCGUGGCCCAGUGGUUAGGUUUGCUUGCUCCACUGCAGCGGCCCAGGGUUUCACCAGUUCAGAUCCUGGGCGCGGACAUGGCACUGCUCAUCAGGCCACAUUGAGGCAGCAUCCCACUUACAACAACUAGAAGGACCUGCAACUAAAAUAUACAAUUAUGUAUGGGGGGUUGGGGAGAUAAAGCAGAAAAAAUAUGAUUGGCAGCACUUGUCAGCUCACUU
rnacentral:lncRNA from 1 species